AACAAGUUCAGAAAAUUGUAGAGAAGAGCUGACAUAUUUUGCAUCUACACAACGUAAAUACACUGGAACCACACUGAGCUUCUUCCCUUGUGUCCAUGAAUGAAGCCACUUUAGGAUUACCGGUUUAUUACACAGACAUCUCUGGGUGACUGCAUUGGGUAAUACAUGUUCGAUCUAUAUAAUUUUGGAAAGGUUUUCUACGGCAUGCCCUACAACCAAAUGCCCAUUCCCCAUAAAGAAAUCAUAGGGAUUCUGCCAAAGUUCAUCUCAAACUGACAUUCUGAAUACACAAACCUCUUCUGGCUAAAUCCUGGCAUUGGCAGGAGUUUAGGGUCACCGUGUGCUGUUUACCAGCACUUAAGAGCUCAGGGAGCAGUUCUGUCCUUGGGCAGCUUAUAAAUCUCAAUGUCUCCAAACCUAUUUCAGUCUGAGUCAGACUGAGGAUCUUAAGAUUUUUGAGAAGGACUUGUCCAAAUCACAGAAUUGAGAGAUUGAUUGAAGAAGAAGUAACAAGUUCUAAAAAAUGAGACAAUCAGGAGGUGAUGUGAGGAAGAGAUGGUAACUGGAAGUAUGAUGGCCAUGCUGAAAAUGUUGACUGUCACAAGGAGAAAGAUCCCAUUUUAUUUCCAUGAUUCCCUUGGAGCAACUCCAAGAUCACCAAGAUUUCUGCCUUAAAUGUAUUCUUAUAUCAAGUCUCACUUAAAAUUUAUUGUGUGUAUGUGUGCAAUUAAUUGCAAGGAUCUUUAGAGAACAGACUCCUUUGUCACUAGUCCCUAGGCACUGUGACAAAGAGAAUAUUAAAAGACUCAAACUGGCCAAGAUCCAGCACAAAGUAGACAGACUAAAAAGAUAAGGCAGGUAGUUAAUCUUCUGGAAGGUGCUGCAGGUAAAGACAGGUUUGUUUGCCCAGCUUGCUGUCUCAACUCUACUUUUGUUUGAUUUGUUAUCUUACCCAGUGGGAAAUCUAUGUCUUGACAUUCAAUCACAAAGCAUAGAAGGCCUCAGACACUAAAUAAGGUUAGGCAACGAGAGAAAAACCCUUUAGUCAAACUUUGUGCGAGAACUGAAAUCUGGGAAAAAUUUGGCCCCAUGUGUAAAUGACUCUAAGUAUAUUUAUUAUGACUUGAGGAAAGGAAACACCAAUGAAUUGGCAAUGAACCUUAUUACAAAUCAAUCUUUUUUAUCAUCUUUCAAUAACUCCAGAGAGAUAGCAAGAAAAUUGCACUUAUUGCAAAAAAUUAUAUUAUAUAUAUUACCAUAAAGAUGAUAUCGCAACUGCCAAAAACAUGAAGUGCUACCAGGCAGAUAGCAUAGAUACUACAGAAUUCUCAACUGAUUGAAUGUUUUACAUUAUGUGCAUUUACUUAGGUUGGUAUAAAUAAAUGUGGUAUUUUAAUAGAAUUAAUAUUACAUCAGCUUGCAGGCAAGCAUGAAUAUUUUUAUCAUCUUCUAAACUGCAGCCUACAUGAUUGGUAUAAUGGCAUGAUUUCCUUGAAAAAUAUACAUGAGAAAGAAAUUUAUAUGUUGUGUAGCAGAUAUUGUGGGGUUUUUCCUGACAUCUGUUUUUCUGCCCACUAUUUUUUAAAAUGCACUUUAGGGGAUUAAUCUAAGUCAGAAUAAUCCUAUGGGCUUUGAUAAAAUGUUUGGUUUAGGUUGCAGAGGCAUGGAAAAUAUUCUGAACAUAGGUACAGAUUGCAAAAUGGAUAAAUAACUAACUCCAAGACAUGAAGACCCAAACAGUGGUUUCCUGGGUACUUCUAGAAGGGAUGCUUACUUUUUCUUAUAAGGGUUGAAGCAACUCUCUUUCUCUCAGCAUCGUGGUGUAUGGUUGGAAAGCCACAGGGAAAGAGCUAAGGAUGAAAAGCAAAACUAAAGGAGAGAACAAUCAAAGGAUCACAUACACAUACAAAAAAAAUUGAACUAAGGCCAUUUAAUUUUGCUUACUUUAAAGCUUGACCACCAUUCAGACUUACAAUAAUGUGAAUAAAUAAUUCUGCCACUGCAGCCAAUCUUUCUUAUAUACAUGCUUAAUAGAUAGCUACUUAAAAUAACUUACACACGUUUUAGAGUUGCUUGAAAACUAUCUGAUCAAGACAUAGUAAUUGAAACCAAUGAAUACAUUAUAUAAAGUAAAGGAAAGGAGAAGAGAGGAAAGGAGGGGAGAGGAGAGGAGGACAAGCGAGAAAGGAAGGAAGGAGAAAAGGGGAAGGGAGGUAGAGAGAGAGAGAAAAGUGCUGGGUCAUAUAGUAAGUGUACAUUUAACUUUUUAAGAAACUACCCUACUCUAUUCCAGAGUGAUUGUACCAUGUUGCAUUUUUACUGGCAAUUUAUAAGAGAUUCAUUUUCUCUACAGCAUUGGGUACUAUCAGUUUUUUUUGUUUUGUUUUGUUUGGUCUUGAGACGGAGUCUCGCUCUGUCACCCAGGCUGGAGUGCAGUGGCGAAAUCUCAGCUCACUGCAAGCUCUGCUUCCUGGGUUCACGCCAUUCUCCUGCCUCAGCCUCCCGAGUAGCUGGAACUACAGGCACCUGCCACCACCCCCAGCUAAUUUUUUUUUUUUUUUUUUUUUUUUUUUGUAUUUUUAGUAGAGACGGGGUUUCGCCAGGCUUAGCCAGGAUGGUCUCGAUCUCCUGAACUCGUGAUCCACCCGCCUCGGCCUCCCAAAGUGCUGGGAUUACAGGCGUGAGCCACCACACCCGGCCCUAUCAGUGGUUUUUAAAAUUUUAUUUUAGCUAUUCUGAUUAGUGAGUAAUAAUAUAUUUAAGUGGUUUUUAAUUUGCAUACUCCUAAAGACAAGCAAUGUUGGAUAUCUUUUCACAUGUUUAUUCGCCAUCCAUAUAUCUUUUUUGAUGAAGUGUCUGCACAACUAUUGCUCAUUUUCUAAUUAGACUGUUUUCUUACUGUUGAGAGUAAAAGUCAAGGAAAGAAGCAAAAUUAGAGAAACCAACGAGGUAAGUGAAAUAUAAGAAAUUAUAGAGACAGGAAGUGAAAUAAGCUAAGAUUUUCCCGCUCUUAUCUAAAGGGAGAAAUAAAACUAAUAACUGCUAACGCUUACAAUUAGAUUCAUCUCUCCAGGUACCGCUUUAAAUAGUCUCUACCAGCAGUUCUUUUUUUUUUUUUUUUUUUUUUUUUAGACGGAGUCCCAUACUGUCACCCGGGCUGGAGUGCAAUGGCGCGAUCUCAGUUCAAUGCAACCUCCGCCUCCCAGGUUCAUGCAACUCUCCUGCCUCAGCCUCCUGAGUAGCUGGGCUUACAGGUGCACACCACUACACCCAGCUAACUUUUUGUAUUUUUAGUAGAGACAGGGUUUCACUAUGUUGGCUAGACUGGUCUUGAACUUCUGACCUUGUGAUUUGCCCUUCUCAGCCUCCGAAAGUGCUGGGAUUACAGGCGUGAUAUCGGCAGUUCUUAAACUGUGGCUGAGGUAACCUUGGAAAAUCCCCAAGACUCUCUUUGAGAAGUGGAAGUUCAAAUCAAUUUCUAUAAUAAUAAUAUCAUUUGACUUUUACUCUUACAUGAGUAAAUAACUCAUUCAACAACUCUCAAUAAAUUAGGGAUUGAUGCUAAAAACUCUCAAUAAAUUAGGGAUUGAUGGGAUGUAUCUCAAAAUAAUAAGAGCUAUCUAUGACAAACCCACAGCCAAUAUACUGAAUGGGCAAAAACUGGAAGCAUUCCCUUU
rnacentral:lncRNA from 10 species